AUCGCACCAAAGCGGAGGAGUGCAGUCAGUUGGUGAUAUAACCAGUGCGGCACAUAUCGACAAUGAACAGACGCAAGUUGCACCUCUAAUUAGGGAUCUGAUAACACCUGAACUGAAGCUUACUCCUAAAAGGACUAUGUCAAUGAACAACACACUACAAUCAAAUCUAGUCUAAUUAAUGAGUCGAUGAAUCAGAAUAUGGGUAAAUCUACUGGAAAAUCAAUUGAAGGAGAUAUGAAAGGAAGGUUGGGGAAAAGCCCUGAUUUGAAUUCGUAGAUCUCGAGCUCACAACCAAUAGAAUAGUGUCAAUCUACUGAACCUGUGCGAGUGUCUAAAGAAACAGGACAAGAACUACAAAUAGAAUUUGUGUCAUAAUUUGGGGGAAGCUGAUAUCCAUGAAGAUGAUGCAAACCCAUCAGAGAAUCCACGCGUAAGUUUUUUUAAAACAAAAUAGAGUAGCAUCUCAUGGUAUGCCCUCAUUCAAGAAUUGUUUUUGAUCCAAUCCGCAGGAAUCAAUAGAAAAGGCAAAUCCCUUAUGAUACACCAGAUCCGUGUAAUUGAGAGAGUCAUCAUAUCAGUGCCUUGGGGAAAUGCCUACCUCUUUAAACUAUAUCCCUUCUAUUGUUAUAAAUAGUGAAAUUAUAGUGCAAUUGGAUAGAGAGGAGGUGGAAAAGGAGAAUGCAAAAUGGAGAGGUGCUCUAAUAGCUUAUGUUAUAGGAAAGUUGCCUGGAUAUAACUAUAUAAGGGGGUACAAAGAUAGAACCUGGAUAGACAUUGUUACAUAUGAUUUUUUUACCUUUAUGAAGAUGGUUACUAUGUUAUUAGGUUCCAGACUGUGGCAGAGAUGCAACACAUUUUGUAUUCUGGUCCUCAUAUGUUUAACAAUAGAGCUAUCAUUCUUAAACAAUGGUCUGUAGAUUUUAACUUUAAUGAUGAAUUCUUAAUGGAGAUUUCCUUAUCGGCUAGUUUUCCUAAUUUAUCAAUGAAUUGUUAGGGCAAUGAUUCCCUUACUAGAAUUGCAAGUGUAGUGGGCAAACUUCUAUGUGCUGAUGAAUGUAUAGCUAAAAAAAGUAGAAUAUCUUUUACAAGAGCUUUAAUUGAGGUAAAUGUUCCUAGAACUCUUCCUGGGGAGGUUACAGUGAUGGAUCCUAAUAGGGGUCAAUUUCAACAGAAAGUGUAAUUUGAUUGAAAGUCUGAUUACUAUGCACAGUGUUUAAAGAUUGGGCAUAUAUAUCCUCCUUCUAAACCUCAACCAGUGCAAUAAGUUUCACUUGAGAAAGAACCUUCUCAUCUAUUUCAAGAAACAAAAAGAAGAACAAUGACAAGAAUGGUGCAGAACUAGAUCUAUAGAGGGUAGAUUAUCCAUGAGGUUAAUAAACUUAUUGAAGCACAUGAACCACAAACUGGUGAGGUGGAGUUUGCACCACCAUUAGUGUAUGAAAUUAAUGAAGUUGUAGAUGCAGUGGUUAAUAAGUCAAGAUCAAGCAAGCAGAAACUGGAGAAUACAACAGACAUUGAAAUUCCAUGACUUUCUUGAUCUUUAAUAUACAUCACUGAGGAGUAGAUUUGGAGCCUUGACUGUAGCAGAGAGUGUGCGGAGUAAGAACAAUCCAUCUGAUAAAGGUGUACUUCAAAAUCUCAAUGAAGCUAAAUGCUAAUAAAGUAGUACAACAUUUUACACUAGAUUGAUUGUUCUUAUAUAAUUACACUAACGCUAUCAAUGGGAGAAUUUGGGUUAUUUGGGUAUAAGGAACUAAAGAAUUUCCUACAUACUAAGCAUCUUCAUUUAGUAGGAGUAAUAGAGAAUAAAGUAAAGGAACAUAAUGGUAAAUGCUAAUAAAGUAGUACAACAUUUUACACCAGGUUGAUUGUUCUUAUAUAAUUACACUAAUGCUAUUAAUGGGAGAAUUUGGGUCAUUUGGGAUAAUAGAAUGCUAGAGGUCACUUAUAUCAAAGCUGUAGUUCAGUAUAUACAUUGCCACAUUAAAAGUAGACUAGGAGGAAUGGAAUGCUUACUCAUAGUUGUUUAUGGGUUCAAUAACAUGAAACAGAUAAAAAACUUAUGGGAUGAUUUGUAGGGUAUUACUCAGGGUGUCACACUACCUUGGCUCAUUGAUGGAAAUUUUAAUGUGGUUUUAACUAUUCAAGAUAGAUUGUUUGGCAAUCCUGUGUCAACUAUAGAAAUUAACGACUUUGCAACAUGUGUGUCUAUUAUAGGUUUUACUGAAUUUUAAUGGAAGGGAGAUUUUUAAACUAGGUGCAAUAAAUAUGGUGCUAAUAAUCGAUAGAAUCUACAAUAGGUUAGAUAGAAUAUUUGGGAAUAAUGAGUGGAUAUGGAGCUGGGGGCAUCUUGUUACUGAAUAUGAUCUACCUAAUAUCUAAGACUACUUACCGAUGUUGUUCAAUAUCUCUCAGGUUACAUGGUCUUCAAAAUUGCUUUUUAAAUUCUUCAAUAUUUGGUUAGAACACUCUAAUUAUGUGAAAUUAUGACAUAAGGUUGGAAAAGAAGGACUCAAGGAGGGAAGAUGAAGCACAUGUGGUUGACUUUGAAACAACUUAAGAAUAAUUUCAAGGAGCUAAAUAAAAAGGUAUUUUAAAGAAUCCACCAGAAGAUUACACAAAAGUGAGUUACAACGAGUACAGACAGAAAUGAGAAAUAUGCAUACUGAAGCUUCAAUCAACAACAACAACAACAACAUACCUAGUGUAUUACCACCUAGUGGGGUCUGGGGAGGGUAGAGUGUAUGUAGACCAUACCACUACCUCAAGAGAAGUAGAGAAGCUGAUUUCAAUAGACCCCAGGCUUAGGACCAAUAACAGUAUAACCAAUACAAAAAGUAAGCGCAUUUAAACUAGUAUGGUACACAAAACAAACUAACAGUAUAACAAACACAAAAGAUAAGUGCAUAAUAAACUAGUACGGGAUGCGAAAGAGCCAACACCACUAGCCCCAAAAACUACAGCCACAACACUAUGAACCAGAAACUCCAGACCCAAAGGAACACUUCCCCAUUACUACCGCCAUGUUCCCACCCCGUAACCCUCUACCCUAAUCCUCGUCCUCCACACUUUUCUAUCAAGGGUCAUGUUCUCUGUAAGCUGUAAUUGCUCCAUAUCAUUCCUAAUCACCUCCCUCAAAUAUUUUUUUGGUCUACCUCUAUCCCGCCUAAACCAUCCAUAGCUAGAGUCUCACACUUCCACACUAGAGUAUCAGGGCCUCUCCUCAUCACAUGCCCAAACCAACGUAGCCUUACUUCUCGCAACUUAUCCUCCACCGAGACAACUCCCACCUUCUCCCAAAUAAUCUCAAUCCUCAUCCUAUCUUUCUUGGUAUGUCCACACAUCCAUUGCAACAUUUGCAUCUCUGCCACCUUCACCUUUUGGAUGUGAGAGUUCUUAACUGGCCAACACUCUACUCCAUACAACAUAGCCGUUCGGACUACCACUCUGUAGAACUUACCUUUAAGAUUCGGGGGCACCUUCUUAUCACAAAGGAAUCCCGAAGCGAGCCUCUACUUCAACCACCCUGCCCCAAUACGAUGCAUGACAUCUUCGUCAGUCUUACUAUUACCCUAAAUUAUGGACCUCAGAUACUUGAAACUCUCCCUCUUCUGGAUGGCCUUAGAGUCUAACUUCACAACCACUUCAUCAUCUUGUGAUAUAUCACUAAACUUAUACUCCAAGUACUCCGUCUUGGUUCUACUUAACCGAAAACCUUUAGAUUCAAACGUCUGUCUCCAAAUCUCCAACUUAUCAUUAACUCCACCCCGAAUCUCGUCGAUCAGAACCAUAUCAUUUGUAAAUUACAUACACCAAGGCAGCUCUCCUUGAAUAUAUCGCAUCAAAAAAUCCAUCACCAAGGCAAAGAGAAAUGGGCUAAGAGUCGAUCCCUGGUGCAACCCUAUCAAAACUGUGAAGUGCUCCGAAUCUUCACCUACCGUCCUCACACGAGUCUUCGCACCAUCAUACAUAUCCUGAAUCGACCUAGUAUAUGCCACGGGCACCCCUCUAGCCUCCAAGCACCUCUACAGAAUCUCCCUGGGAACUCUGUCAUAUGCUUAUCUAGAUCAAUAAACACCAUGUACAAGUCUUUCUUCUUCUCUCAAAACUGCUCCACUAAUCUCCUCACAAGGUGAAUGGCCUCAGUGGUCGAGCGACCAGGCAUGAAUCCGAAUUGAUUCUCAGAGAUCGUCAUGAUCCACCUUAUCCUCAACUCUACCACCCUUUCCCAAACCUUUAAUACCUCUAUAGUUGUUACAACUCUGAAUGUCUCCCUUGUUCUUAUACACUGGAAUCAUCGUGCUCCAUCUCCACGCUUCAGGAAUCUUAGCAGCUCUAAAAAUAAUUUUAAACAACCAUGUCAACCACUCCAGACCUACCCUGCUAGUGCUCUUCCAAAAAUCUACUAGAAUCUCGUCUGGCCCUGUCGCCCUACCCCGCCGCAUCCUGCGAAUAGCUCCCUUGGUUUUCUCAACCUUAAUACGCCUACAAGAACUAUAAUUGUGACCCUCCUUAGAUAUCUCUAAGUCUCUCAACACAGAAUCUUUGUCCCCUUCGUCGUUCAAAAGUGUAUGAAAAUAGGGCUGCCACCUCUCCCUAAUGAGGGUAUCCUCUACAAUACUAUACCUUCCCCUCUUUUGAUGUACUUCACUUGGUCAAGAUCACGAUCCCUCCGCUCCAUGGUCUUAGCCAUCCUAUACAACUUCUUAUCUCCUUCUUUCUCCUCUAAAGCCGCAUAUAAACUCUUAAAAGCUGUUGUCUUAGUCGUCGUAACCGCUAACUUAGCCUCUCUUCUAGCUACCUUAUACUCCUUCUUAUUCUUCUUCCUUUCCUCAUCAUCCUUUUUUCCAACCAACCUAGCAUAAGCCACCUUCUUAGACUCCACCUUUCUCUUGACCUCUUUGUUCCACCACCAGUCUCCUUGAUGUUUGCUAGAUCGACCUCUCGAGAUACCCAACACCUCUCUAGCGGUCUCCCUAAUGCAACUGGCAGUCAUCUCCCACAAAUUAUCCACACACCCUCUACUCUCCCAAGACCCCCUACUCUUCAACUUCUCUUCCAUCUCCAAAGUACUAGCCAAAGUUAAGCUACCCCACUUAAUCCUGGGUCGUGCCUCCCUUCUUCUCUUCUUUUUGCCUUUAUUGAUAACCAAGUCCAUCACCAACAACCUAUGUUGAGUCGAGAGAUUCUCGCUAUGUAUGACUUUACAGUCUUUACAUAGUGCUCUAUACCUUUUUCUAAGAAGCAAAAAGUCUAUCUGAGUUUUGGCCACUGAACUACGAAGCGUAAUAAGGUGAUCCUCCUUCUUUGGAAAGCUCAAAUUUGCUAUCCACAACUCAAAAGCCCUAGAAAAAUCCAACAGAGAAACUCCUCCUUUAUUUCGCUUACCAAAAUCGAAACCUUCAUGCACAUCAUCAUACCCUCUUGACAAAGACCCAAUAUGCCCAUUGAAAUCCCCUUCCACAAAAAGUUUCUCAGUGCUUGGAAUGCUCCUCACCACCUCAUCUAAAACCUCCUAGAAUUCCUUCUUCUCCUCUUCAUCCAAACCUACAUACGGGGCGUUGGCACUAAUAACGUUCACCGUAGUCCCUCCCAUGACCAACUAAAUAGACAUCAGUUUAUCACUAACUCUCUUUACCUCUACCACCUGUUUCCUAAGAUCUUCAUCUGCUAAGAUACCUACCCCAUUUCUAUGUCUCACGCUACCCGAUUACCAUAACUUAUAUCCAUCCAUAUCUCUUGCUUUAGUGCCUACCCAUUUAGUUUCCUGAACAUACGCUGCACUAACCCUCCUCUUUCUAAGAAUCUUCACCAGCUCUAUAGACUUACCCUACAAAGUACCAAUGUUUCAAGACCCAACUCGCAACCUAAAAGCUCCCUUAUCCUGCCUAACCUUACUACCCUUAGCCCCUAAUCUUAAACUCGAUCCUAUACCCAACCCAGACUCAACCCCCAAACCCCGACCCAGACACAACACCUCCUAACCCUGACCCUGACCCUGACCCUGACCUAUGACAUAACCCUAGUCUACCAUCGCCAAUCAUAGCCACUAUGUAACAAAGGGGGAUCAAGAUAAGGUAAAAGGGCACACUAGUUAAAAUGAAGUCAAUAAAAGAGCUAGGGGCACAGACAACAAUCUAUAACAGAUAGAGAGCAACAAAAUCAACAAUAUAACGCAAAUUUUGAUAAACAAUAGUCAAUAGAGGAAACUAAUACUACCACAAUUAAUGUAUAUGCUAGUACAUCAAGUAACAGUAAUCAGACAAGGUAACACACUCCAAAAAUACUAAGAACAAUAAAAAGAUUCACAUGUAAAACACUAUUACAAAGUAAUCAAUCAACAAAAAAUUCAACAUCUAUAACCAGAUAAUAAGCCAAGACGUUUUUACGUGUACAGAAGGAAAAAGAGAUGCUAAUUAAUUUGGAGAAAUGGUCCUUAAUUGAAGAACGUGUCAUGAAACAGAAAGUUAGAGAAAAUUGGCUUCCCUUAGGUGAUGCCAAUACUAAAUACUUUGCUGCAGUCAUGAAAGAAAGGCAACUUAUUAAGCAUAUUUAGAGCAUCACUUCUCUUUUAAGCAAUAUUCUGGUUCAUUCUAUAGCUAUUAAAGAUGAAUUUGUACAAUUUUACAAAGGGUGUAUGAGUAAAAUUUAUACUAUUCUACCUGCUUAGAUGGGAAAAUAAUGAAACUUGGACCAGUACUAAACAAUGAUCGAUAGUUGUUCUUAGUUUCUAAAGUAACAAAAAGUAAAAUUUUGAAAGGCUGAAUGAUGUAGGGUUAGACAAAGCACCAGGGGAGGAUUGUUAUAAUGCUACUUUUUCAAAAACUUCUUUACUUGUGAUAAAAGAGGAUCUAGUUGAUGAUGUGAAAGAGUUCUUUCAUACAUGUAAAAUGUAUAGACCUAUUAACUGCACUGUUACUUUACACCCUAAAACUACUUAUCCUAAAAAGUGAAAGAAUACAGAUCUAUUUCCUGUUGUAUAGUAUUAUCAAAGUUGAUCUAUAAGGUUUUAGCAGCAAGAAUGCGAUGGUUAUAGCAAGCAUUAUUUUUGAAGCUCAAUUAAGGUUACCACAAAAACAAAGAUAACUGAUAAUAUUCUUUUGGCCUAUGAACUUGUUCAAGCUGAUAAUAAAAAACAUAUAUCAGCCAGGUAUAUGUUAAAGGUAGAUCUCUAGAAAGCUUAUGAUAGUGUGUAAUGAAUAUAAUUAAAACAGGUCAUGGAAUAUAUAGGAUUUCUUGCAAAAUUUCUAGGGUGGGUAAUGAAAUAUGUUUAAAAAGUCAGAUACUCACUAGGUGUGAAUCGGGAGUAUAUAGAACCCUUUAAUGCAGCAUAGGGGUUGAUACAAGGUGAUUCUAUGUAAGACCCCGCAAAAUUCUCUCGUAGUCUGAGCCUUAGAGCAUAGCGUAAAUUCGGUCCUAAAAGAUUGAGAAGUAUCUUCCCAAGUGAGAAAUAUUUUGAACCACGUAGAAUUUCCCUAAUAUCAACUUUUUUUCAUGUAGAGAAUUGAAUAUGUUUUUCGUUGAUACCAAUUUCGUCAAAAUCCGACAUCGAAUGAGAAAGUUAUGGUUAUUUUACUGAAAGCAGUCAAAACCGCCCAGGUGCGAUGGUCGGGUUGACGAACCGUCGCCCAGACCGUCGCAACCAAGGAAGUGACUGGCCUAAGUGCAACGGCCAGGAUGACGGACCGCCAAGGCGAUGACGGACCGCCAAGGCUACGACGGACUAUCGCUUGGACCGUCACCGCUGAGGUAGUGUGGCCUCAUCCUAGCUAACGUGCGACAGACGAUUCGAUGGACCGUCGGGGUUGCGACGGACCGUCGCAUUGAGGCAGUGUAUUAUUUUUCUGAUCGAUGUGUGACGGACGAUCCAACGGACCGUCAGACUAGCGACGGACCAUCGCUUCAACCAUCGCAGCUCCUGUUCAGCAUUUUUAACUCAUUUUUAUAAAGGGCUUUUUGGUCUUUCUCCUACUCUUUUCAGCCCCUAUUUAUAUUCGAUCAAGGCUUACAACUUUAUUUCUCCUCUUCAACAUCAAAAUAUAGGGUUUCUACAAAAUCAAAACCCUUCUUUUUUCUUCAAGAAAAAAAUCAAGAGAAAUCAAGAAAUCAAGAAUCUCUCCAAGAGCCUUCAAGAAAGUGUUUCCUAAGGUAUGCAGAUGUUGAUUCUUGGGUCCCUUUCAUCCAAGAAGUUCAAGAACCCUUUUCUAAAUUUCAAAGAUCUUUAUGUUUAUGAGUUUUCAUGAUUUAUGUGAAUUGAAAUUGGAGUUCAUGCUAUUAUUGAGUUUUAAUUCAUGUUUUGUUUAUGAGGUUUCAAGCUUUGACCCUAGUAUGUGAUAUUCAUGUGAUGUUCAUAAUAAACUCUCUUCAAGUUGCUUGUUAAGUGAUCUGUUCAUGUCAAUUAAGUGUAGAAAUUGUUGAAUAAGCAAAGCAUGCUCCCCAUAUGUUUGAUAAAAUGAUUAUGUGAAGGAAUUAGUGUCAUUAUAGCAUGUUGGGUAGAAAUCCCCAAUUGUGUGCAAGCCCUUGCAUGCCAAGUGUUUGUUGAAAAGCCUUAGUGAAUGAAUUAUGAGCAUGAAGUUCCCUCAAUUAUGUGCUCUUUGAUACAUUCUAAGACUUUAAUACAUGCUAAGUGUUUGAUGCAAGACCUAGUUGAAUGGAGUAUGAGCCAAUAACAUGUUUCCCUAUGUUAUUACAUGUUUAUGAUUCCUAAAUGUUGAGGAGAUGCUUUAGUGAUUGUGAUGGUGAAUGAAUGUCUAUGGUCUUGAUUAUUCAACAAUGGUUAUGUUUUACUUUUAUGUUAUCGAGUCCUGAGGGUAUUUAUACCCAAUAAUUUAGCUGCAGUCUAGAUCCAGUGUCAGUUUUCACAAUAAUUUCAGUCAAGCCACAAUUCUCAGAACUUAGUGUGUUAUAGAACUUUGUACUCUCAUAUAGAUGCAGAACUUAAGUAAUCUCAGUAUCGCUAAUAUUCUAGCCUCAGUUCAGUACUCAGCUCAGACCUAGUAAAAUUCGAGUGUUCAGUUCAGACCUCAGUAGUAUUCGAGUAAUCUUUUCAGAGCUCAGUAUCAUUCAGUUAGAUAACGAGAUUCAGUAAUAUUCCGUUAGAUGCGGAACCAAGUGAAUUUAGCUUAACUUAGUUAGAUCAUUCGAGAAACAUGAUCAGUAUCAGAUUCAACUCAGUUUAAGUUCAGUUAAGAAUUAGUUCAGAGUCUGUCAGUUGGGAGUAGGAGCUAGCACCGAGCGAGUGCAGGGAUGGCGACUCCCCAUUAGAGAGGCAGAGUCAUUAGGAGCAAUCCCUGAACUCUAGGACUACUUAGCCAGUGCAGGAGAAGGAGUCACCCAUUAGAAUAAGGCUUGACUAUUAUACUGCCUUAGGCUUGACUUCCUUGACUUUCUGUGAGGGUCACCCAUUAGAUAGGCUUGACCAGAGUUAAGGUCUUUACCUGUGGCAUGGUAUUGACACCCUUCCAGCUGGAGUUACAGGUUGGACCCAACCAGUUUAGAUUUAGGGCAUGUCAGUUAAGUGAGCACUCCCACAGUUACAGAUUCAGUAUCAAUCUUCAGAGUAGAACUCAGAAAUCAGGACUGUCAGAUACAAUUACCUAGGUCAGUAAGGAACUCAGAUAGUUCUAUUGAUUCAUGGACCACCUGCUAGAUAGGCAUAGUCUCACAUAAAGAUAUUCAGUAUCAAUAUUAUCAGAUCAGAGAUCACCAUUAGAUAGGCUUGAUCUCAGUCUCGGAUUUAGUUGAGUAAUCUCAUUAUUAGAUCCAAAUAUCAUCCGUUAGAUUGGGUUGAUCUCAAUCUCAGAUUCAGUUGAGUAAUCUCAUUAUCAGAUCUAGAGAUUACCCGUUAGAUAGGCUUGAUCUCAGUCUCAGAUUCAGUCGAGUAAUCUCAUUAUCAGAUCCAAAAAUCACUCGUUAAUAGUCUUGAUCUCAGUCUCAGAUUCAGUUGAGUAUUCUCAUUAUUAGAUUCAGAGAUCUUUCACUAGAUAGGUUUGAUAUCAAACAUAAUCUUUUCUUAUCAUUGAUAGUAGAUUCAUGGAUCAUCCGUUAGAGAGGUUUGGUCUCAGAUUCAGUCAGUCGAGAGUAGUAAGGUCAGCUUUCAGUCAUUGAUAUGAGUAGAUUCAGUUAAUCAGCUUCAGUAUCAUUAGUUUUCGAGUUCACUCACUAGAUGGGACUGAUCUCAAUUUCAAUACUCAGUUUUCUAUAUCAGGAGAUUCAGUUGUUCAGUAUCUCAAUAUUAGUAGUGAGUUCAAAUGUUAGUAAAUUAGUAUCCGAGUUUCAGUAUUUUGAGUUGUGAUGUUUUCAGUUAUGGUUUGUGCAUUCAUGCAUAUGCCCUCAUUCAGUAUUCUCAUGAUUAUUCAGUUAAGUAAUUGUUCAUGCAUAAGCCCUUGCAUUUAGCCUUACCUCAUCUUCAUACUCAGUAUAUUUUUGUACUGACGCAUUUGCGCUAUGGUGUUUUAUUUGACACCAUAGGUUCAGAGGCACGAGAUCCAGAGUACCCCUAGCAGCUCCAUCCUAGUCAACAGCAGUAGACAUAGCAGUGCGUCCUCUUUAUUCGAAGAUGAUCCUUAUUUUAUUUUCGUAUCAUAGUUAGUUUAUUUUUAGUAGAUGGAGUAAGUUGCGGACAUGUCCUAUCAACUCCAUAGUUCAGACAGUUUAGAGGCUUUUCGAACAGAUGUAUCAGUAUUCAGUUUUCAGUUUUGAGU
rnacentral:lncRNA from 1 species